UAGCUCAUUCGGAUAGAGCACCGGCCUUCUAAGCCGGGGGUAACAGGUUCGAGUCCUG
rnacentral:tRNA from 1 species